rnacentral:rRNA from 1 species
UACGUAGGGAGCAAGCGUUGUUCGGAUUUACUGGGCGUAAAGGGCGCGUAGGCGGCGCAACAAGUCACUUGUGAAAUCUCCGGGCUUAACCCGGAGCGGUCAAGUGAUACUGUCGUGCUAGAGUGCGGAAGGGGCUACUGGAAUUCUCGGUGUAGCGGUGAAAUGCGUAGAUAUCGAGAGGAACACCUGCGGCGAAGGCGGGGUAGCUGGGCCGACACUGACGCUGAUGCGCGAAAGCCAGGGGAGCGAACGGG